UUCCCAUUCAAAAUUGUCAUCCACCGAUAUGGGACUUUUGACAAUUUCAACAAAUUAACUCCAUGUCAUGAAAGAUAUCUUAAAAGUAGUCUCUCAGCUCUUAACUUUUAUGGAAAGAACAAAGUAUGCAUUAUCUCUAGUUGAAUCUAUAGCCCACGUUGUGAGAACGAGAACACUGGGACCAUCCCAAAACUCAUUUGAUGGAAAUCCCCAAAUACAAAAAAAUAAAAACUCAAAACUGAUGGCGUAUCCCAGGUUAAUCAGAGUUUAGAACUUGACGAGUACAUUAAAACUUUUUAGUUCAAAUCUAUAUUUAUUAAAAUUCACCAAAAAUUAUGAGUUCAGAUCGUAUGCGGGGGUACAAGUAGAGUAUAUUAAGACAUACGAUUAAAGACUGAAGAGCCAUAUGCGAAAAAAUUGACAAAAUAAUAAAUAAGGAAGGCGGAAUGCAUCCUUUAAUUUAAAAAGUAGUGGUACAUACAAAAAUAUGGACAUUAUUUUUAAUUCAAACAUUGCAACUUAUGUCUAACUUUAUCUAUACAUGUUUUCGGUACAUGUAUAAGAGUCAGACGCCAAAAUAUUGAGUUUCGUCGAACCCGCCAAACCAAUAGUUGGAUUAGGCAAUGCUCAAAAAGAGGUGACUUCCUUUCUAUAAAAGAAGAGACCAGAGGGUCCAUCAUUUGGCAACAAGGCAAGCUUCACCAAGCUUUCAGCACCUUCUUCAGCAGUUAAGCUCCCAGUAUUGCAGUUCACAUCUGUUUUGCAAAAGCCAGGACAUACACAAUUUAUCCGAAAAUUCGGAUAUUUCGUAGCUAAAACCCUUGUGUAAGCAAUUAGGGAUGCUUUCGAGACUUUAUAAGCUGAGAAGUAAGUUGGCCAUCCUUUGGCUUCUAUUGAUUUCUCUCUAAAAUCUUUAAGAAAUUCAUUCAACACUUCAUCCACCCUUUCUUCUGUCAGGCUUUUAGCAUCACUUAGCAUUCCUAUAGCCCAUUUGUUACACAAUAGCUGUAGAAUAGCAGAAAACGGUUUGGAGUAGAGGCGGCAAAAGUAACCCAAACCCAUUUGACCCGUCCAACCCGUCAAGUUUUAGUGGGUUGAGCAUGAGCUACUUUAAUGAUGGGCUAAGUUUGGGCACAACCCAACUAAGCCCAUUUAUUUUCAGUAGCCCAAAUUAGCCCACGAUUUAUUACUUUUACUAUUAGGCAUGAGUUGACAUUUAUUUCAAAACAUAAGACAAGAAUCAACAGGAAAAAAAGAAAAAAAAAUUCAUCAUCAUAAACCAUUGCAGAAUGAUAUUUACGAAAAAAAUAAAUAAAAAAUAUUGUUAUAUAUGUGAGGACAAGAGUGGAUUGCUCUAGUGGUAAGUACCCUCCACUUCCAACCAAGAGGUUGUGAGUUCGAAUCACCCCAAGAGCAAGGUUGGGGAGUUCUUGGAGGGAGGGAGCCGAGGGUCUAUCGGAAACAACCUCUCUACCCCAGGGUAGGGGUAAGGUCUGCGUACACAUUACUCUCCCCAGACCCCACUAGUGGAAUUAUAUUGGGUUGUUGUUGUUGUUGUUAUAUAUGUGAGAAUAUUUUAUAAUGUUUAUUUAAAAGUUGAGGUUAUUGCAAAGAUUUGCAUCAAUAUGGGCGAGUUGGGUUACAACCAUCGUGACCGGUCCAUCUUAACCAAAGUGAACUUUAGGCAGAAUUGGACAAUGACUCAUUUAAUGAGUCAGUGCCCAAAUACAAACCAAACAACUCAUUUGCCCGUUCUACUAUCGGUAUAUAGAAGUUAACCUCAACAUAAUUUAGAGGGUACACAUAUUAUGAUAUAUACAGUUAUGAUUUCAUUACCUUUUAACUUCCCCAAGAAAGAAGCGACACUAACAAUUCUUGGGGAAUUAGAGAGCUGAAGGAGGGGAAUAAAUGCUUCAAUCAUUCUUUUUGCACCAUAGAAGUUUGUCUCUAGGCAUUGUUUU
rnacentral:lncRNA from 1 species